GCUUCUCUGUUCAUUACAGUGAGGCACAUGCUCUCCAGACUGCUGCCAUGGCCAAAAAAAGCAAGAGCGCUGAGCUGUAAUCCUGUGAGAGGCACACAUACCCCAAGGCUCCAUUUCAGGACCUGCAGACCAGCCUGACUACGAGUGCACUGUUCUAUGCUAGACUGCUGCCAUGGAAACGCCCUGCAAAUGGGCGUGGGAGUCAUAUGGUCACCAAAAGGGGAGGCGGAGAGAUUUCCCUAAAGACUGGUGCGCGCGGCAUUCUGCUCUUUCUCCAGCGCAGCACAUUUGGUGGGAUAUGUGGAGGAAAUGAAGAGCAUAGCUGAGCAGUGAGUCAUGCUGUUUACUGGUAAAAGCGUCGACCAAAGGCAGGGAAUCACACCCUCCCGAUCUGACGUUUCCUGGAAAAUCCCGUUGUUUCGCAGGGAGGAAGGAACAGUACAGAGAACCUUGGAAAUGGCUGGCAUCUUUUGUACGGAAAGGAAGAAGAACUCACAGAAUAUCUGAGCAAAGAUGCUCUCCCAACCAGGGACGCUGGGUUUCAAAGAAAUGUCAAGAAUGCAAAAAACAAGGACAUACCCAUCCCACGUUUUACUGCCUGAGACCAAUCUGUGAAUGAUAUAAUAAUAAUAACAGUAGGAAAAUAUGAAUAUGUUUCCAAAAAAAGAGUACCACAUCCCUCACUUCCAAAAAGAUAAAUCAAAGCAAAGCUCUGCAGUUGAAAAUAGUGUUAAUAAUCCAGAACUAUCCAGAUGUCAGUGCUUCUCCUUCAAAACCGCCAGAUGAGACACAAGGACAGACAAGAUGUGACAGCAUACAUUCUGAAUGCGGUGGAACUGUAAAGCGUUGGUUUGUGCAUCUGCCAACCUGCAAUUUGAGUCAUGGUGGAAUCAGAAAGUUGCCAGAAGAAAAGUU